CCUCAGUGAUGAACAAAGCAGAUGACGAGUCUGAUAAUCUAUUCUGUUUUUUAAAAAAAUGAAGUCAAUCGAGGCAUUUGUCUGAGAGGA
rnacentral:snoRNA from 1 species